rnacentral:rRNA from 1 species
UGGGGAAUCUUGCACAAUGGGGGCAACCCUGAUGCAGCGACGCCGCGUGAGCGAUGAAGCCCUUCGGGGCGUAAAGCUCUUUCGACCGGAACGAUAAUGACGGUACCGGGAGAAGAAGCUGCGGCUAACUACGUGCCAGCAGCCGCGGUAAUACGUAGGCAGCAAGCGUUGUUCGGAGUUACUGGGCGUAAAGAGUGCGUAGGCGGAUUUGUAAGUCAGAGGUGAAAUCUUACAGCUUAACUGUGAAACUGCCUUUGAUACUGCAAGCCUAGAGUAUGGAAGAGAGUGAUGGAAUAUCUGGUGUAGCAGUGAAAUGCGUAGAUAUCAGAUAGAACACCAAUGGCGAAGGCAGUCACUUGGUCCAUUACUGACGCUAAAGCACGAAAGCGUGGGUAGCAAACA